GUGGGGAAUAUUGCACAAUGGGGGAAACCCUGAUGCAGCAACGCCGCGUGAGUGAUGACGGCCUUCGGGUUGUAAAGCUCUGUCUUCAGGGACGAUAAUGACGGUACCUGAGGAGGAAGCCACGGCUAACUACGUGCCAGCAGCCGCGGUAAUACGUAGGUGGCAAGCGUUGUCCGGAUUUACUGGGCGUAAAGGGAGCGUAGGCGGACUUUUAAGUGAGAUGUGAAAUACCCGGGCUUAACCUGGGUGCUACAUUUCAAACUGGAAGUCUAGAGUGCAGGAGAGGAGAAUGGAAUUCCUAGUGUAGCGGUGAAAUGCGUAGAGAUUAGGAAGAACACCAGUGGCGAAGGCGACUCUCUGGACUGUAACUGACACUGAGGCUCGAAAGCGUGGGGAGCAAACAGGAUUAGAAACCCGUGUAGUCC
rnacentral:rRNA from 1 species